UGGGGAAUAUUGGACAAUGGGCGCAAGCCUGAUCCAGCCAUGCCGCGUGAGUGAUGAAGGCCCUAGGGUUGUAAAGCUCUUUCACCGGUGAAGAUAAUGACGGUAACCGGAGAAGAAGCCCCGGCUAACUUCGUGCCAGCAGCCGCGGUAAUACGAAGGGGGCUAGCGUUGCUCGGAAUCACUGGGCGUAAAGCGCACGUAGGCGGACUCUUAAGUCGGUGGUGAAAUCCUGGAGCUCAACUCCAGAACUGCCUUCGAUACUGGGAGUCUCGAGUUCGGGAGAGGUGAGUGGAACUGCGAGUGUAGAGGUGAAAUUCGUAGAUAUUCGCAAGAACACCAGUGGCGAAGGCGGCUCACUGGCCCGAUACUGACGCUGAGGUGCGAAAGCGUGGGGAGCAAACA
rnacentral:rRNA from 1 species